AGCUUUAAGCAGUGGCAGUAUCAUAGCCAAUGAAACUUAUCUGAGGCGCGAUUAUUGCUAAUUGAAAACUUUUCCCAAUAACCCACCUUGCCAUCUUGCAAUAUAGUUGGCACUGGCAAUUUUUGACAGUCUCUACGGAGG
ensembl:snRNA U4 U4 spliceosomal RNA